rnacentral:tRNA from 6 species
AAAGAUUUAGUUAAAUUAUAACAUUAGAAUGUCAAACUAAAAUUAUUAUAAAAAUAAUAUUCUUUA